UACGUAGGCGGAAAAUUAAGUCAGUAGUGAAAUCCUGCAGCUUAACUGUAGAACUGUUAUUGAUACUGGUUUUCUUGAAUAUAGUUGAGGUAAGCGGAAUGUGUAAUGUAGCGGUGAAAUGCUUAGAUAUUACACAGAACACCGAUUGCGAAGGCAGCUUACUAAGCUAUGAUUGACGCUGAGGUACGAAAGCGUGGGGAUCAAACAGGAUUAGAUACCCUGGUAGUCC
rnacentral:rRNA from 1 species